UUAAGCGACUAAGCGUACACGGUGGAUGCCCUGGCAGUCAGAGGCGAUGAAGGACGUGCUAAUCUGCGAUAAGCGUCGGUAAGGUGAUAUGAACCGUUAUAACCGGCGAUUUCCGAAUGGGGAAACCCAGUGUGAUUCGUCACACUAUCAUUAACUGAAUCCAUAGGUUAAUGAGGCGAACCGGGGGAACUGAAACAUCUAAGUACCCCGAGGAAAAGAAAUCAACCGAGAUUCCCCCAGUAGCGGCGAGCGAACGGGGAGGAGCCCAGAGCCUGAAUCAGUGUGUGUGUUAGUGGAAGCGUCUGGAAAGGCGCGCGAUACAGGGUGACAGCCCCGUACACAAAAAUGCACAUAUUGUGAGCUCGAUGAGUAGGGCGGGACACGUGGUAUCCUGUCUGAAUAUGGGGGGACCAUCCUCCAAGGCUAAAUACUCCUGACUGACCGAUAGUGAACCAGUACCGUGAGGGAAAGGCGAAAAGAACCCCGGCGAGGGGAGUGAAAAAGAACCUGAAACCGUGUACGUACAAGCAGUGGGAGCACGCUUAGGCGUGUGACUGCGUACCUUUUGUAUAAUGGGUCAGCGACUUAUAUUCUGUAGCAAGGUUAACCGAAUAGGGGAGCCGAAGGGAAACCGAGUCUUAACUGGGCGUUAAGUUGCAGGGUAUAGACCCGAAACCCGGUGAUCUAGCCAUGGGCAGGUUGAAGGUUGGGUAACACUAACUGGAGGACCGAACCGACUAAUGUUGAAAAAUUAGCGGAUGACUUGUGGCUGGGGGUGAAAGGCCAAUCAAACCGGGAGAUAGCUGGUUCUCCCCGAAAGCUAUUUAGGUAGCGCCUCGUGAAUUCAUCUCCGGGGGUAGAGCACUGUUUCGGCAAGGGGGUCAUCCCGACUUACCAACCCGAUGCAAACUGCGAAUACCGGAGAAUGUUAUCACGGGAGACACACGGCGGGUGCUAACGUCCGUCGUGAAGAGGGAAACAACCCAGACCGCCAGCUAAGGUCCCAAAGUCAUGGUUAAGUGGGAAACGAUGUGGGAAGGCCCAGACAGCCAGGAUGUUGGCUUAGAAGCAGCCAUCAUUUAAAGAAAGCGUAAUAGCUCACUGGUCGAGUCGGCCUGCGCGGAAGAUGUAACGGGGCUAAACCAUGCACCGAAGCUGCGGCAGCGACGCUGAUGCGUUGUUGGGUAGGGGAGCGUUCUGUAAGCCUGUGAAGGUGUACUGUGAGGUAUGCUGGAGGUAUCAGAAGUGCGAAUGCUGACAUAAGUAACGAUAAAGCGGGUGAAAAGCCCGCUCGCCGGAAGACCAAGGGUUCCUGUCCAACGUUAAUCGGGGCAGGGUGAGUCGACCCCUAAGGCGAGGCCGAAAGGCGUAGUCGAUGGGAAACAGGUUAAUAUUCCUGUACUUGGUGUUACUGCGAAGGGGGGACGGAGAAGGCUAUGUUGGCCGGGCGACGGUUGUCCCGGUUUAAGCGUGUAGGCUGGUUUUCCAGGCAAAUCCGGAAAAUCAAGGCUGAGGCGUGAUGACGAGGCACUACGGUGCUGAAGCAACAAAUGCCCUGCUUCCAGGAAAAGCCUCUAAGCAUCAGGUAACAUCAAAUCGUACCCCAAACCGACACAGGUGGUCAGGUAGAGAAUACCAAGGCGCUUGAGAGAACUCGGGUGAAGGAACUAGGCAAAAUGGUGCCGUAACUUCGGGAGAAGGCACGCUGAUAUGUAGGUGAAGUCCCUCGCGGAUGGAGCUGAAAUCAGUCGAAGAUACCAGCUGGCUGCAACUGUUUAUUAAAAACACAGCACUGUGCAAACACGAAAGUGGACGUAUACGGUGUGACGCCUGCCCGGUGCCGGAAGGUUAAUUGAUGGGGUUAGCCGCAAGGCGAAGCUCUUGAUCGAAGCCCCGGUAAACGGCGGCCGUAACUAUAACGGUCCUAAGGUAGCGAAAUUCCUUGUCGGGUAAGUUCCGACCUGCACGAAUGGCGUAAUGAUGGCCAGGCUGUCUCCACCCGAGACUCAGUGAAAUUGAACUCGCUGUGAAGAUGCAGUGUACCCGCGGCAAGACGGAAAGACCCCGUGAACCUUUACUAUAGCUUGACACUGAACAUUGAGCCUUGAUGUGUAGGAUAGGUGGGAGGCUUGGAAGUGUGGACGCCAGUCUGCAUGGAGCCGACCUUGAAAUACCACCCUUUAAUGUUUGAUGUUCUAACGUUGACCCGUAAUCCGGGUUGCGGACAGUGUCUGGUGGGUAGUUUGACUGGGGCGGUCUCCUCCUAAAGAGUAACGGAGGAGCACGAAGGUUGGCUAAUCCUGGUCGGACAUCAGGAGGUUAGUGCAAUGGCAUAAGCCAGCUUGACUGCGAGCGUGACGGCGCGAGCAGGUGCGAAAGCAGGUCAUAGUGAUCCGGUGGUUCUGAAUGGAAGGGCCAUCGCUCAACGGAUAAAAGGUACUCCGGGGAUAACAGGCUGAUACCGCCCAAGAGUUCAUAUCGACGGCGGUGUUUGGCACCUCGAUGUCGGCUCAUCACAUCCUGGGGCUGAAGUAGGUCCCAAGGGUAUGGCUGUUCGCCAUUUAAAGUGGUACGCGAGCUGGGUUUAGAACGUCGUGAGACAGUUCGGUCCCUAUCUGCCGUGGGCGCUGGAGAACUGAGGGGGGCUGCUCCUAGUACGAGAGGACCGGAGUGGACGCAUCACUGGUGUUCGGGUUGUCAUGCCAAUGGCACUGCCCGGUAGCUAAAUGCGGAAGAGAUAAGUGCUGAAAGCAUCUAAGCACGAAACUUGCCCCGAGAUGAGUUCUCCCUGACCCUUUAAGGGUCCUGAAGGAACGUUGAAGACGACGACGUUGAUAGGCCGGGUGUGUAAGCGCAGCGAUGCGUUGAGCUAACCGGUACUAAUGAACCGUGAGGCUUAACCUU
rnacentral:rRNA from 1 species